rnacentral:rRNA from 1 species
UACGAAGGGUGCAAGCGUUACUCGGAAUUACUGGGCGUAAAGCGUGCGUAGGUGGUUUGUUAAGUCUGAUGUGAAAGCCCUGGGCUCAACCUGGGAACUGCAUUGGAAACUGGCUGACUAGAGUGCGGUAGAGGGGUGUGGAAUUCCCGGUGUAGCAGUGAAAUGCGUAGAUAUCGGGAGGAACAUCUGUGGCGAAGGCGACACCCUGGACCUGUACUGACGCUCAUGCACGAAAGCGUGGGGAGCAAACAGG